AGUCGAACGGAAGUUUAAGCAAUUAAACUCUAGUGGCGAACGGGUGAGUAACGCGUAAGCAAUCUGCCCCUAAGACGAGGAUAACAGUUGGAAACGACUGCUAAGACUGGAUAGGAGACAAGAAGGCAUCUUCUUGUUUUUAAAAGACCUAGCAAUAGGUAUGCUUAGGGAGGAGCUUGCGUCACAUUAGUUAGUUGGUGGGGCAAAGGCCUACCAAGACUAUGAUGUGUAGCCGGGCUGAGAGGUUGAACGGCCACAUUGGGACUGAGACACGGCCCAAACUCCUACGGGAGGCAGCAGUAGGAAAUUUUCGGCAAUGGAGGAAACUCUGACCGAGCAACGCCGCGUGAACGAUGAAGUAUUUCGGUACGUAAAGUUCUUUUAUUAGGGAAGAAUAAAUGAUGGAAAAAUCAUUCUGACGGUACCUAAUGAAUAAGCCCCGGCAAACUAUGUGCCAGCAGCCGCGGUAAUACAUAGGGGGCAAGCGUUAUCCGGAAUUAUUGGGCGUAAAGGGUGCGUAGGCGGUUAAAUAAGUUUAUGGUCUAAGUGCAAUGCUCAACAUUGUGAUGCUAUAAAAACUGUUUAGCUAGAGUAAGAUAGAGGCAAGUGGAAUUCCAUGUGUAGUGGUAAAAUGCGUAAAUAUAUGGAGGAACACCAGUAGCGAAGGCGGCUUGCUGGGUCUUUACUGACGCUGAGGCACGAAAGCGUGGGGAGCAAACAGGAUUAGAUACCCUGGUAGUCCCACGCCGUAAACGAUGAGUACUAAACGUUGGGUAAAACCAGUGUUGAAGUUAACACAUUAAGUACUCCGCCUGAGUAGUACGUACGCAAGUAUGAAACUUAAAGGAAUUGACGGGACUCCGCACAAGCGGUGGAUCAUGUUGUUUAAUUCGAAGGUACCCGAAAAACCUCACCAGGUCUUGACAUGCUUCUGCAAAGCUGUAGAAACACAGUGGAGGUUAUCAGUUGCACAGGUGGUGCAUGGUUGUCGUCAGCUCGUGUCGUGAGAUGUUGGGUUAAGUCCCGCAACGAGCGCAACCCUUAUUGUUAGUUACCAGCACGUAAUGGUGGGGACUUUAGCAAGACUGCCAGUGAUAAAUUGGAGGAAGGUGGGGACGACGUCAAAUCAUCAUGCCCCUUAUGACCUGGGCUACAAACGUGAUACAAUGGCUGUUACAAAGGGUAGCUGAAGCGCAAGUUUUUGGCGAAUCUCAAAAAAACAGUCUCAGUUCGGAUUGAAGUCUGCAACUCGACUUCAUGAAGUUGGAAUCGCUAGUAAUCGCGAAUCAGCAUGUCGCGGUGAAUACGUUCUCGGGGUUUGUACACACCGCCCGUCAAACCACGAAAGUUGGUAAUACCCAAAGCCGGUGGCCUAACUUCGCAAGAAGAGGGAACCGUCUAAGGUAGGGUCGAUGAUUGGGGUUAAG
rnacentral:rRNA from 1 species